AUGUUCCAAGUGGCAACAUAUGAAGACACUGAGAUCACCACCCUCCAUGGACUCACUAAAGCAGACGUUCACCAUCCAGUCACUGUGUGAAACUGUGGGAAGAGGAAUUCCAAAAGCAAUGGGAACUCUUGCAAAACAAACAAAGGAAAAAACCUCCAAGAUUUAAUGUCAGAGAUACCUGGCAGUGUCUCGGAAACUACUCCCACUUGGUGCUCAGAGAUUGCUCCUGGCAGGAAAUGGAAUCUGGGUCUCCAGCAUGCAAAGAAUCAUCUCCAGCCCCAUAACAAUGACUUUUAGAUAACACUAAAGGUGCGAUCUAUGGAAGAAAUUAUCGACAAGUUGGAUCUCAUUAAAAUUUCAAAGCAUCUGCUCUGUGGGAAACAAUGUCAAAAGAA